rnacentral:pre_miRNA from 1 species
AUCUCCUGGGAAAUAUUGUUGAAAUGCAGAUUCUGAUUCUGUAGGUCUGGGGUGGGGCCUAGGAUUCUGCAUUUCUAACAAGCUCCCAGGUGAUGCUUC